rnacentral:rRNA from 1 species
GACGAACGCUGGCGGCGUGCUUAACACAUGCAAGUCGAGCGGUAAGGCCCUUUCGGGGUACGACGAGCGGCGAACGGGUGAGUAACACGUGGGUGACCUGCCCUCAGCUCUGGGAGUAAGCCUGGGAAACCGGGUCUAAUACUGGAUAUGACUCCAUGACGCAUGUUGGUGGGGUGGAAAGCCUUGUGCGGCUGAGGAUGGGCCCGCGGCCUAUCAGCUUGUUGGUGGGGUGAGGCCUACCAAGGCGACGACGGGUAGCCGGCCUGAGAGGGCGACCGGCCACACUGGGACUGAGACACGGCCCAGACUCCUACGGGAGGCAGCAGUGGGGAAUCUUGCGCAAUGGGCGAAAGCCUGACGCAGCGACGCCGCGUGAGGGAUGACGGCCU